GGGGAUGGACCAUAUAGCUCAAUGGUAGAGCACAUGUUUUGCAUCCAGAAGGUCGCAGGUUCAAUCCCAGGCAUCUCCA